UAUACUACAAUUGGGUCACCUUACAUGUUAAACUAUUAAGUUUAAAAAGUUUUUUAGUUGGUUUUAUUUUUUUGUUGGUUCUAUGUUUAUAAUUAACUAUUUGUCAUAUUAUAUAUAUAUAUAUAUAUAUAUAUAUAUAUAUAUACACACACACACAUAUAGUAAUCUAAUAAAAAAAGUAUAGUAAUCAUUAUAUACAUAUAUUAUGAUAUAAAAUAUCAUUUUCACUUUCCAAAUCACACUCACUGAAACACUCGCAGGGUUUCUGGGGGAAUUUAGGCACUCACAGUGUAUGUGUGUAUGUUUAUGCGAGGGGGAGUUUCCAUUGCGAGUGGGACUCCACUGUGGGUAGAGGGAAAUCUUUACAGUGUCGUAUUACAGCACUGUGAGGGGGAAGUGAGAGAUGCUUCUGUACAUCGUUUCUUUGAUUCAUUUGAUAUUUGAACGUGAUCAGUUACAGUCGUUGGACUCCGUGGAAUCAAAUCUCUGUCAUUUGAAAACGUUUUUUAAAGACUUAACCCAUUCAAGAGCAAUGCAAGGACCAGAACUUGUUGACUCGAGGAGUCGUUUUCGAUUUAUUGAAUCCUGUCUCGGCUUGAUGGGCUGUUUGUGUAUCAACUAUGCGAUCUGGACAUCUCGGUGGCUGGAUGACCGGGGUCUGUGGACCUCACGGAAUGAGACCAGACUGGAUGACAGCCGGACCACUGAAGACAUUGCUAAAGCUCUGGAGGCUGAAAAAGUGUUUGCAGCAGUGGCUUUCCUGAUGUCUGUGAGCGCUGGACUGCUGUGUCUCAUGUUUGCCCUCUGCUGGACGUCUCAAACGGUGCGUUCCUACUCAAACACUCGCUCGCUGCUGAUGGCAGGCCAGGCACUCGACCCGACCACCCUGCUGCUGUUCACACUAGUACCUACAGGUUUUUUCUUUUUUCUCAGCUGGGCGCUUUUUACCCAUCAAUAUAUUGGUGAGAUAAGGGAUGAUGUCAGUCGACUCGGCCCAUCCUAUUGGCUGGGAGUGGUGGGUUGGGCUUCUCUAUUGGCCGUGCUGCCUGUGGUCUUCCUGGCAGAGAAGUUUGUGGUUCCCGACAUCCUGCCGGAGUUAAAAAAUGCUGCCCAAAUGUGGUGGAAGGCUCCGGAGGCUGCACACACGCGGUCGUUAAGUGAGGGUUGCCAUCGUUCACAGCAUAAGACUCAUCCUGACUUUAGGAGGUAUUUGUCAGUGCCUUGAACGAGAGGAAGAAGGUAGCAAGGAAAUACAGAGAAGAGACUCUGGUCUCGCUUGUCUUCUAGCCAUAUAUAUGAGCUGAGCAUAUCCCUCACAACAGGGGUCAAGGACCUGGAUGAGAAACCUGUAACUGCUCUCUGCGAUGUGACACACAAAGCUACAGGUUAUAAGGUUCAGUGCUGGCUUUGACAGUGGCUUCACAGAUGUAUUUGGACGAGGAUGCCCAAAUAUCAGAGUUCACUAUCUAAAUGUAAAACAUAAAGCUGAAAGGAUCUUGAAGUUGCAAAGAGGCUAUUUCUCUAGAACUUUUAAUAGUCGUUGCCUGCAGAUGUUAUUGUGUAAAUUAUACAGUGACUUUCAGGGAUGUAGACUUAAAUAUGCUAAAUUAUUAACUGAAAUAACAACAAAAAACACUAAAGUAGUUUAUAUCUGAUUGGUAAAUCUAUAAUAAAAUUACUAAGAAUGGCAAUAGGCAGUACUUAAGAAAUGCUACAAAUGCAAUCAUUAGUGGCAUAUUUAAAAAAUGAAAAUAUACGUUUUUUUUAAAAAAAGUUAUUGAAACAGUUUGAAACAUACUUGUUCUUGCAUAGAAAAAUGAUUCAUUUCUAAGAUCCACUUGACCUUUCCCCUUAUUCCCACUGCCAAAAGCGGUGAUCAUUUAAUUCCAGAUUUUUCUGCUUGUUCUCAAUUUUGUAGACAAUACUGAUUCAAAUAGUCAGAGCACUUUUCUACUGCUAACACUUAAUGUAAUAGGGACUUCCAGGUGCUAAUGCAGAAUUCAACACUACUAGAUAGUGCUGCAGUUGUUUUUUUGUUUUUUAUCUGUCUUUUUUUAAGUGCAAACAGUGCUCUCUACUGGCGAUAGUCCAAAGAGCAUCAUGUUCUAUCCUGUAUUUUUAAAGCUAUUUAACAAUACUUUUUGUACUGUUUUAAACCAAUAAAUGAAAUGGUUUUCAUAUAAAGUUGAGUCCAUAUCUAUCUAUCUAUCUAUCUAUCUAUCUAUCUAUCUAUCUAUCUAUCUAUCUAUCUAUCUAUCUAUCUAUCUAUCUAUCUAUCUUUAGAUAGAUAUCUAUUUAUGAUAGAUUACUAUUUUUUAGUUUUGUUUUUCAUUGUUAAUUUUUAACUUUCUAGUAAUUUUUGUGUUUUCUUCAUUUUAUUAAAUAUAUAACUAAAUACUUGUAUAGAUCCCACCCAAGAUGAGAUGAAUGAACUGGCUGUGUUAAUUGUGCAUUAAUCAGGUGCGGGUCUAAUUAAAAGGCAGUUCCGUCCUUUUAGCAGUGCCUAAUGAGUUUGUUAUUAAAUCCACAGAGAACUGUUUUUUUUUAUUUACUAUCAGGAAAGCACUUAAUUGGCCCCUCAGAACAGAACUUGAGUGUCCUUGAAGGUUGUGACGGUGGGGAGCUUGAGA
rnacentral:lncRNA from 1 species